rnacentral:rRNA from 1 species
AGAGUUUGAUCAUGGCUCAGAAUCAACGCUGGCGGCGUGCCUAACACAUGCAAGUCGAACGAGAAAGCGGGGGCAACUCCGUGAGUAAAGUGGCGACCGGGUGAGUAACACGUGACCAAUCUACCCUCGAGUGGGGGAUAACUCCGGGAAACCGGAGCUAAUACCGCAUAACAUCUUUGGAACCCAGGUUCUGGAGAUCAAAGGAGCAAUUCGCUUGAGGAGGAGGUCGCGGCUGAUUAGCUAGUUGGCGGGGUAAUGGCCCACCAAGGCGAAGAUCGGUAGCCGGCCUGAGAGGGCGCGCGGCCACACUGGAACUGAAACACGGUCCAGACUCCUACGGGAGGCAGCAGUGGGGAAUUUUGCGCAAUGGGGGAAACCCUGACGCAGCAACGCCGCGUGGAGGAUGAAGUCCCUUGGGACGUAAACUCCUUUCGACCGGGAAGAUAAUGACGGUACCGGUGGAAGAAGCACCGGCUAACUCUGUGCCAGCAGCCGCGGUAAUACAGAGGGUGCGAGCGUUGUUCGGAAUUAUUGGGCGUAAAGGGCGCGUAGGCGGUGUGGUAAGUCACCUGUGAAAUCUCCGGGCUUAACUCGGAGCUUGCAGGCGAAACUGCCGUGCUGGAGUGUGGGAGAGGUGCGUGGAACUCCCGGUGUAGCGGUGAAAUGCGUAGAUAUCGGGAGGAACACCUGUGGCGAAAGCGGCGCACUGGACCACAACUGACGCUGAGGCGCGAAAGCUAGGGGAGCAAACAGGAUUAGAUACCCUAGUAGUCC